UGGUAAAGAACCAUAGUUGAGUGGUAAAGCAUCUGCUUUACAUGCAGAAGGUACCGGGUUCAAUCCCUGGCAUCUCAA